rnacentral:rRNA from 1 species
UAAAAAUGUAAAUAAUAAAAUCUAAAUUAUUAAUAGAUAUAUUCUUUAAAAUUAAUAAAUUUGGCGGUAUUAUAAUCUAAUUAGAGGAACCUGUAUUUUAAUCGAUAAUCCACGAUAAAUUUUACUUAAUUUUGUAUUCAAUAUGUAUACCGCCGUUAUCAGAAUAUUUUAAAAGAAAUAAAAUUUUCUAAAUUUUUUAUAUUAAAAUGAUUUCAGGUCAAGGUGCAGUUUAUAAUUAAGUAUAUAUGGGUUACAAUAAAUUUAUUUAAAUGAAUAUAAUUAUUGAAAUUUAAUUAUUAAAGUGGAUUUAAAAGUAAAUUAAAUUAUUUUAUUUAAUUGAUUAUAGCUCUAUAAUAUGU